rnacentral:rRNA from 1 species
AUACGGAGGAUCCGAGCGUUAUCCGGAUUUAUUGGGUUUAAAGGGUGCGCAGGCGGCCAUUUAAGUCAGCGGUUAAAUCGUGGGGCUCAGCCCCAUUCUGCCGUUGAUACUGGGUGGCUUGAUUGCGGUCGAGGUUGGCGGAAUUCGUUGUGUAGCGGUGAAAUGCAUAGAUAUGACGAAGAACACCGAAUGAGUAGGCAUCUGACCAGACCGCAAAUGACGCUGAUGCACGAAAGUGCGGGGGUGGAACAGGAUUAGAUACCCUAGUAGUCCGCACAGUAAAAGAAGAAUACUGGUUUUCGGCGAUAUAAUGUCGGAGGCAAAGCGAAAGCGAUAAGUAUUCCACCUGGGGAGUACGCCGGCAACGGUGAAACUCAAAUGAAUUGACGGGG